CUUCGGUCGAGUGAUGGUAUAGAGAGCGGCGGACGGGUGAGUAACGCGUAGGCAACCUGCCCCAUACAGAGGGAUAGCCUCGGGAAACCGGGAUUAAAACCUGAUAACGCCGAAAGUUCACAUGGACUUUCGGCCAAAGAUUUAUCGGUAUGGGAUGGGCCUGCGUCUGAUUAGCUAGUUGGUGGGGUAACGGCCUACCAAGGCAACGAUCAGUAGCCGACCUGAGAGGGUAAUCGGCCACAUUGGAACUGAGACACGGUCCAAACUCCUACGGGAGGCAGCAGUGGGGAAUAUUGCACAAUGGGCGAAAGCCUGAUGCAGCAACGCCGCGUGAGCGAUGAAGGCCUUUGGGUCGUAAAGCUCUGUCCUUGGGGAAGAAAAAAAUGACGGUACCCUUGGAGGAAGCCCCGGCUAACUACGUGCCAGCAGCCGCGGUAAUACGUAGGGGGCAAGCGUUAUCCGGAAUUAUUGGGCGUAAAGAGUGCGUAGGUGGUUUUAUAAGCGCGGGGUGAAAGGCUAUGGCUCAACCAUAGUAAGCCUUGCGAACUGUAAGACUUGAGUGCAGGAGAGGAAAGUGGAAUUCCUAGUGUAGCGGUGAAAUGCGUAGAUAUUAGGAGGAACACCAGUGGCGAAGGCGACUUUCUGGACUGUAACUGACACUGAGGCACGAAAGCGUGGGGAGCAAACAGGAUUAGAUACCCUGGUAGUCCACGCCGUAAACGAUGAGCACUAGGUGUCGGGGUCGCAAGGCUUCGGUGCCGCAGUUAACGCAUUAAGUUCUCCGCCUGGGAAGUACGCACGCAAGUCUGAAACUCAAAGGAAUUGACGGGGGCCCGCACAAGCGGCGGAGCAUGUGGUUUAAUUCGAAGCAACGCGCAGAACCUUACC
rnacentral:rRNA from 1 species